rnacentral:rRNA from 1 species
ACGCUCGACACCUACGGGGGCAGCAGUGGGGGAUAUUGCACAAUGGGGGAAACCCUGAUGCAGCAACGCCGCGUGAGGGAAGAAGGUUUUCGGAUUGUAAACCUCUGUCCCCGGGGAAGAUAAUGACGGUACCCGGGGAGGAAGCUCCGGCUAACUACGUGCCUGCAGCCGCGGUAAUCUGAGCGGGCUGGCAAGGC